rnacentral:rRNA from 1 species
AGGACGAACGCUGGCGGCGUGCCUAAUACAUGCAAGUCGAACGGUCUUUCUAUGGAAGCUUGCUCCACUGAGAAGAUAGUGGCGAACGGGUGGGUAACACGUGGGUAACCUGCCCAUAAGAGGGGGGAUAACAUCCGGAAACGGGUGCUAAUACCGCAUAGUUUUCUUGAUCGCAUGAUUGGGAAAGGAAAGACGGCCUUUGUGCUGUCGCUUAUGGAUGGACCCGCGGCGUAUUAGUUAGUUGGUGAGGUAACGGCUCACCAAGACGAUGAUACGUAGCCGACCUGAGAGGGUGAUCGGCCACAUUGGGACUGAGACACGGCCCAAACUCCUACGGGAGGCAGCAGUAGGGAAUCUUCCGCAAUGGACGAAAGUCUGACGGAGCAACGCCGCGUGAGUGAAAGAAGGUUUUCGGAUCGUAAAACUCUGUUGUCAGAGAAGAACAAGUUGGAGAGUAACUGCUCCAGCCUUGACGGUAUCUGACCAGAAAGCCACGGCUAACUACGUGCCAGCCGCCGC